rnacentral:rRNA from 1 species
GACAGAGGGUGCAAACGUUGUUCGGAAUUACUGGGCGUAAAGCGCGUGUAGGCGGCUCUGUAAGUCGGGUGUGAAAUCCCACGGCUCAACCGUGGAAGUGCACUCGAAACUACAGGGCUAGAGUCCUGGAGAGGAAGGUGGAAUGCUUGGUGUAGAGGUGAAAUUCGUAGAUAUCAAGCGGAACACCGGUGGCGAAGGCGGCCUUCUGGACAGUGACUGACGCUGAGACGCGAAAGCGUGGGGAAGCAAACAGGGAGUUAA